rnacentral:rRNA from 1 species
CAUUACAGAGUUCAUGCCCUUACGGGUAGAUCUCCCACCCUUGUGUAUUAUACCUUUGUUGCUUUGGCAGGCCGCUUCGGCUACCGGCUUCGGCUGGUGAGUGCCUGCCAGAGAACCCAAAAUUCUGAAUGUUAGUGUCGUCUGAGUACUAUAUAAUAGUUAAAACUUUCAACAACGGAUCUCUUGGUUCUGGCAUCGAUGAAGAACGCAGCGAAAUGCGAUAAGUAAUGUGAAUUGCAGAAUUCAGUGAAUCAUCGAAUCUUUGAACGCACAUUGCGCCCCUUGGUAUUCCGAGGGGCAUGCCUGUUCGAGCGUCAUUAUAACCACUCAAGCCUCGGCUUGGUCUUGGGGUCCCGCGGUCUCGCGGCCCUUAAAAUCAGUGGCGGUGCCAUCUGGCUCUAAGCGUAGUAAUUCUCUCGCUAUAGGGACCCGGCGGACGCUGGCCAUCAACCCCCAACUUUCUAAGUUUGACCUCGGAUCAGGUAGGGAUACCC